GCAGCUUGCUGCUUCGCUGACGAGUGGCGGACGGGUGAGUAAUGUCUGGGAAACUGCCUGAUGGAGGGGGAUAACUACUGGAAACGGUAGCUAAUACCGCAUAACGUCUCAAGACCAAAGAGGGGGACCUUCGGGCCUCUUGCCAUCGGAUGUGCCCAGAUGGGAUUAGCUAGUAGGUGGGGUAACGGCUCACCUAGGCGACGAUCCCUAGCUGGUCUGAGAGGAUGACCAGCCACACUGGAACUGAGACACGGUCCAGACUCCUACGGGAGGCAGCAGUGGGGAAUAUUGCACAAUGGGCGCAAGCCUGAUGCAGCCAUGCCGCGUGUAUGAAGAAGGCCUUCGGGUUGUAAAGUACUUUCAGCGGGGAGGAAGGCGAUAAGGUUAAUAACCUUGUCGAUUGACGUUACCCGCAGAAGAAGCACCGGCUAACUCCGUGCCAGCAGCCGCGGUAAUACGGAGGGUGCAAGCGUUAAUCGGAAUUACUGGGCGUAAAGCGCACGCAGGCGGUCUGUCAAGUCGGAUGUGAAAUCCCCGGGCUCAACCUGGGAACUGCAUUCGAAACUGGCAGGCUAGAGUCUUGUAGAGGGGGGUAGAAUUCCCUGGUGUAGCGGUGAAAUGCGUAGAGAUCUGGAGGAAUACCGGUGGCGAAAGCGGCCCCCUGGACAAGACUGACGCUCAUGUGCGAAAGCG
rnacentral:rRNA from 1 species